CCUCAGUUUUAUUCAGUACAGUCAGCUCUCAGCAGAGUUCAAUAUACAUGCACAAUAUUUCUAUUUUUACUCCUAUAAAGAGAACACGAAGUUAUUGCUUAUUGGUUCACUUAUGUUAUUUUUCUGUUCAUUCUUAUCUCUUUUUUUUAUGGCUAUCUGUUGACCCUUUCUGUUUGACUAUUAUGGUACACUUAAUCAAAUACAUAAUCCUUCACAUGUUCAUUUAGUUCUUAUUUUUCUUAAAAAUUCUUCCCCCUUUUUAAACAACGCUGAAUCGGCAUAAGAUUAAAUGUUACAGUUUUUAUGCCCAUUGGCCCUGUGUCAGCUGGCCACUGAAGAUACCUCAGCUUACCCUCAGCACACCAAAACCGUUGGAUCGGAUGAGCUUCGGGAUCUUCAGUUUCCAGCUACCUCAGGGUUGGAGGAUCCCCCGUCUCCUCCUCCAGCCUCCAAGACCUGGACUCCACCUCAGCCCUCUGAGCCAUUGGCUCCGCCUUGGCUCAUUGCUCCCUCGUCUCCACUGUGGCCCAUCAUCCCACUGGCUCCACCGGGCUCGCUCGUCCCUCUGGCUCCGCCUUGGUCAGUUGUCGGCCAUCAUUCGCCUCAGGAUUCCACUCCUUUGGCUUCGCUUUGUCCCUCCAUCCUUCUGGCUCUGUCUGGCUCCUCCUUCCCUCCAGCUCCACCUUGGUCCUCUGUCGCUCCGGCUCCACCGCGGGCUUCCGGAUCCCCGCCUCUGCCUCGGUUGCCUGAGCCGCCAGCUCCACCUUGGCCCUCCGGAUCCUCUGUGUCACCCUGGAUCUGCGGCUCUCUGUCUCCAUCCCGGGCUCCUCUUCCACCGGCUCUGUCUCUGUCAGUCAGCCCCCUGAUGUUGUCGACCCCAUCUCCACCAUGGCUCCUUCCACCGUCGACUCCACCAUGGGCCGCUAUCCUGGCUGGCCUCUGGUUCCCCACCUGGCUCCAGGCUUCUCCCUGGCUCCUCCAUCCAUCUACUCCACUCUGGCCUUAUGAACUAUGCCCCUUUCCAAUUACCUCUCCUGAACCCCCACUCUCCCUCCUCUGUUGGACUGCCUUUGUCAGCACGAGGACGCACCUUUACGGGAGGGGGCGAAUUGUCAUGUUUCUGUUCUGUUGUGUUUUGGUUUCUCUGCUUUCCAGUUUGCCUGUGUUCCCUCGUUUGUUCCUAUGGUUUUUCAUUUGUUAAUUAGUUCCACACACCUGUUCUGUUUCUCCCUGAUUGUAUUCUCCCCUGUAUUUAAGUCCUGUUUUUCCCUAAG
rnacentral:lncRNA from 1 species